UUGGUCGUAGCUCAGCUGGCGGAGCGGAUGAAUGUGGCUCAUCAGGACGCGGGUUCGAAACCCGCCGGCCAACCCA
rnacentral:tRNA from 1 species